rnacentral:lncRNA from 1 species
UCAGCACUGGGGACAGGCUUCCUGCGGAGAGCGGUGCCACUUCUGCCGCCAGCAGGGAGCUUCGUGCCUUCUAGCGUCUGGGGCCUGCGUUUCUGAGAUGCCACCCUGGACCAGGGGUCAGACCUUUAGACUUGAGCUUCUGAUAAGCCAUUUGCAGCUGUGUGGCCUUGGGCAUGAUGCACAACCUCUCUGAGUCUGGGUUUCCUCAUCUCUGAGAAGUAGGGAUUGGGAUUCAGCAUUCUUCCCGAAGCUGACUUGAGAAUGAAGUGAAGCGACCUCCCUCCACGAACACCUUGUCCCUUGUCCUCAGGCUCCACUCCCUCAUAUCUCUGCAGAGUUGCCCCUGCUGUUCCGUUUCCAGGCAGCCCUCCCUCUCCUGUCCCAGAGAACAGCGAGUGCCUCCUCCACAGCUCGGAAGUCCCACGGGGCAGUCUUUCUCCGCAUCCGCAGGAGGAGGUCUUGCCUGUGGCACUUGGCGCCCUCUCUGUGACUGUGUGUGUGUGUUCCGUCGCUGUCCUGCAAGGUCCUCACAGUGUCCCGGUGGAGGGCCCAGGGGUGACGUUGCUCCCCCACCAGACCCAUUUCUGGAUCCAUGGACCUCUUCCACCCGGGGGUGCUGGUUGAGAAUCCAGAGAAGGAGGCCCCGAGCCCUCACUGCACACGGAUGGCCUUCCUCCUCCUCUGGGUGCUCCAUCCCUGUGGGAGGCAGCCAGGACCAGGACUCAGGCCCUCCUUAGGAUGCCUACACUGUGGGCUUUGGGGCCAGGCGCCUAGCCAGGGGCUGUGCAGGAAGCAGAGAAUCCUCUGUACCCCAGAUGUAUUGGUUUUCCCCACGUCGAGCAAUUCAACGACCCCAGCUGGGGAGCCUACGAUUUAACUCAAUUCUGACAGUAUCUACCUGGAGGUAACAGCAGAUCCCACAGGUUAAGGGCUCAGUCCCACCAGAAAACCCCCAUCCCCUUCAGACACCAGUCACAAGUCCAGGUUGUCACCUGUGCUUCUGACCUACUGGCUAUAGUUUGGAGGUUCCCAUGAUCCCCUCCUCAUGGCGGGGGAGGGAGCUCACGGAAAACAUUUUACCUACUAGACCACUAGUUCGCUAUAAAAGGAUACAACUCGGAAACAGCGAGAUGAUGCUUAGGGCAAGGUCGGGGAAGGGCUGUGGAGCCUCCUAGAUGUCUCCAGGCUCCCAGCGCCUCCGCCACCUGGAAGCUCUCCGAACCCUUCGAUUGAUUAGAUCACUGGCCAUUGGUGAUUGAGCAGCAUCUCCAGUCCUCUCCCCUCCUGGAGGUCAGGGCGGUGGGACUGAAAGUUCCAACCCCCAAAUCUGUUGGCCGGUUUCCCUGGCAACCAGCCCCCUGCCACAGGGGCUUUCCAAAAGUCACCUUAUUAACACAAACACACGUGUGGUUGAAGGGGGAUUGUUAUGAAUAGUACAAGACACUUUAUCUCUCUUAUCACUUAGGAAAUUCCAAGGGUUUUAGGAGCCUGUGCCAGGAAGUGGGGGGGCGGGGUGGAGGAAACGAAGAUGAAAACAUAUUUCUUAUUAAAAAUCACAAUAUUACAGGUUGCCAUAACAAAAUACCACAGACUAGGUGGCUUAACCAACAGACAUUUAUUUCUCACGGUUCUGGGGCUGGAAGUCUGAAAUGAGGGUGCUGGCAGAUCCGGUCCGGUGAGGAAGCUCGCCCAGGCUCGCAGGGGCCGCCUUCCUGCUGUGUCCCCACAGAGAGAGCUCUGGUGUUUCGUGUACAUCAGUCCUAUUGAUCAAGGCCCCACCCUUAUGACCUCAUUUAACCCUAAUUACCUCCAUACUGGCCUCAUCUCCAAAUAUAGUCACCCUCGGGGUUGGGCUUCAAUAAAUGAAUUUGGGGGGUUCA